GCUGGGCAUGGUGGUGUGUGCCUGUAAUCCCAGCUGCUCGGGAGGCUGAGGCAGGAGAAUUGCUUGAACCCAGGAGGUGGAGGGUGUGGUGAGCGGAGAUUGCACCACUGCACUCCAGCCUGGGCAACAGAGCAAGACUUUGUCUCAA
rfam:Chlorocebus sabaeus isolate 1994-021 chromosome 23, whole genome shotgun sequence.